AUGAAUAAGGCAUGUAGGAACAUAGUAAACUCAUAACAAUAUUCCUUAUUUGUGGGUAUUUCUUAAGGCAAGGCAUAAUAUGUCAUGGAUGGAAUGCUUUUUGUGUUCAAGAUAAAAUAAGUAUUUUACCUGAUCUAUGGGAAUAAUGAAAGAUGACAUUUACAUAUAGAAUGCAAUAUCAAGACAACAUUGAGUACCUGAGCUUAAUCUGGUUGACUGAUGAGCAGCAUAUUAUUAUAUCGUUAAUUGCUUAGCUUUUGAUGGAUGCAAUAAAUUAGCAACACUUCUAAACCUCUUUUCUAUAGUAUAAAUGGAUACACCUUCUCUUUUCUCUCUGUUCUCUUAACUUUCUGCUUGUUGGUUCUUCUUUUUCUGCAGAGGGAGAAUCGCAGGCUUCAGGAAGCCAGCAUGCGACUUGAGCAAGAGAAUGAUGAUCUUGCUCACGAACUUGUAACAAGCAAAAUUGCUCUACGAAAUGACUUGGACCAGGCUGAAGAUAAAGCAGAUGUUUUGAAUAAGGAACUGCUCCUGACGAAACAAAAGCUAGUGGAAACUGAGGAGCAGAA